GAGUUUGAUCAUGGCUCAGGACGAACGCUGGCGGCGUGCUUAACACAUGCAAGUCGAACGGUGAUGAUGGGGCUUGCUCUGUCUGAUCAGUGGCGAACGGGUGAGUAACACGUGAGUAACCUGCCCCUGACUCUGGGAUAACCGUGGGAAACGACGGCUAAUACCGGAUAUGAGACGUCCACGCAUGUGGAGCGUCUGGAAAGAUUUAUUGGUCUGGGAUGGACUCGCGGCCUAUCAGCUUGUUGGUGGGGUAAUGGCCUACCAAGGCGACGACGGGUAGCCGGCCUGAGAGGGCGACCGGCCACACUGGGACUGAGAUACGGCCCAGACUCCUACGGGAGGCAGCAGUGGGGAAUAUUGCACAAUGGGCGAAAGCCUGAUGCAGCGACGCCGCGUGGGGGAUGAAGGCCUUCGGGUUGUAAACCCCUUUCAGCAGGGAAGAAGCGAAAGUGACGGUACCUGCAGAAGAAGCGCCGGCUAACUACGUGCCAGCAGCCGCGGUAAUACGUAGGGCGCAAGCGUUGUCCGGAAUUAUUGGGCGUAAAGAGCUCGUAGCGGUUUGUCGCGUCUGCUGUGAAAUCCUGAGGCUCAACCUCGGGCUUGCAGUGGGUACGGGCAGACUAG
rnacentral:rRNA from 1 species